rnacentral:lncRNA from 1 species
GGGAAACCUGUAAUAAAAGUCCAAACAUGUUGGAGGUAUUUCGAUAAGAGAUCCUUCGAUGUUUUAGUUAGUCGGAACUUGAAACUGGAGAAGGGAGAAGGGAGUCUGGAGAGAAAAUAGGGAGAGAAUGUAGACAUUAUUCUCUGUGGAUAUAAUUAUUUAUUUAUCUUGGAGUCCCAUGGUUAUCUUUUUAUAUAGAGAUG